AUCAUCUCUUUCUCGAUCAAAGACUAUUUGCUACCUCCAACUGCUUUGCAAUUAGAGCAUCGUCCCUCUUUACUUUUUUUCUCUAUCUCCACCUGAUUGUUCACUUCUACAUGUUCCUUAUUUUCCAGAUACCACCAACGGUGGCGCUUCUCUGAAUUCACCUUUUGACUGAUGUGUUCAAUCAGUCGGAAGGAAAGGGAACCAGAGGCCACCUCCUUGCUGCCGAUUGUGACUGCACUGGAGAAAUCGACUGAUACAGUCGACUUCUACUACUAUUGGAAGUCUCGAAGCCGGUGCCUCCAUCGACUGCUACUACAUCUUCGUUCCAUCCCCAGACCAACAACGAGAGCACCACUUUUCUCAGCAAACGAACCCUAAACCUUACUUCACAUAAGAAAUAGACCAGAUAGAAUCCAGUUGCUUUAUCUCCAAGAAGAAUUAGACAUUUGUCUUGAGUGUCAUGAAUGCACGCAAUUGGAGGUUCUAGCUGCAAUCAGCUUUGAUUAUUUGUGGAAGAUAUCAUUGAAGAUGCAGAGCAUGGAAGCUAGGAUUCCCAUGCCAGUUGCACUAGCACAAAGUCAUUGGAAUUUACUAUGUUGUAAAUUUAUUAUAUAAUUCAGUACGAAUAAUCAACAACUUUAAACUCUGUUAGUUUUCUAUUGUUAUUUCUUAGUUGUUAAACAAUUUAAUUAUUUAUGUUUUCUACUACUCUU